UUCUAAUAGUAAUUUUUAUUAGUAAAUUCUGCUCAAUGAAAUUUAAAUAGCCGCAAUUUAAGUGCUAAGGUAGCAUAAUCAUUCGUCUUCCAAUAAAAGACUAGAAUGAACGAAUAAACACUUAAAUUCCUUUCUUAAAAUUAAAAAUUCAACUUUUUCUAAAUAUAAAAAAAUAUUUAUUUAAAAGAAAGACGACAAGACCCUAUUGAACUUUACUUAAGUUUAAUUGGGGAAAUAAAUUAAUUAAUAUUUUAAAUCAUCUAAAAACACAAAUAUCCAAUAUAAUUGAAAUAAACAAGUUACCAUAGGGAUAACAGCGUAAUAUUGUUUUUAAGAUCUUAUUUUAAAUUUUCUUACGACCUCGAUGUUGAAUAAAUACCUAAAAAAGGCAACAAAUUUUUAAGGAAGUCUGUUCGACUUUUAAAUAUUUACA
rnacentral:rRNA from 1 species